rnacentral:rRNA from 1 species
GUGAGGAAUAUUGGUCAAUGGGCGGGAGCCUGAACCAGCCAAGUCGCGUGAAGGAAGAAGGAUCUAUGGUUCGUAAACUUCUUUUGCAGGGGAAUAAAGUGCAGGACGUGUCCUGUUUUGUAUGUACCCUGAGAAUAAGGAUCGGCUAACUCCGUGCCAGCAGCCGCGGUAAUACGGAGGAUCCGAGCGUUAUCCGGAUUUAUUGGGUUUAAAGGGUGCGUAGGUGGUUUGAUAAGUCAGCGGUGAAAGUUUGCAGCUUAACUGUAAAAAUGCCGUUGAAACUGUCGGACUUGAGUGUAAAUGAGGUAGGCGGAAUGCGUGGUGUAGCGGUGAAAUGCAUAGAUAUCACGCAGAACUCCGAUUGCGAAGGCAGCUUACUAAGCUACAACUGACACUGAAGCACGAAAGCGUGGGGAUCAAACAGGAUUAGAUACUCCGGUAGUCC